GGUGCAAAUCUUUAAAUUGCAAGUGUGUGUGUUGCGGGGGGUGGGGGGCGGGAAGAGUGUCUCGAGCAACCCAAGCGCGGGUCUCCAGGCGGCAAGGCCCCCUUUGAUCAGGAAAAUCCAAUUAUUUGUGUAUAUACAUUUCCCACAUAGUGAUUACUUCAUUAAUUGUCCCGCCUUUAUCUCCUCCCUUCCCAUCCCCCCUAAUAAUCAGUUCUUUUAUCCAGACCAACAAACACACCAUAGGAGCUUUGUGGAUUCAAAGGAUUUGCUUUCGCUUCUGAAAGAGCCGCUAUUCUUUGAUGAUUGGGUAGCGGCAAACUUCAAAGCCAUAAAUCUUCCCUCUGACUGGCUGGCGGCCCAGCAAAGUCCUUAUCAAAUUCUUGGAGGUGAUCCUGAAGCGCUCAGACCGCGCGCGGGGCGAGCGAGCGGGGCGCUGCGAGGGGCGAGGGUGGGGAGGGCCCCAGCGCGCAGAGCGGGCUCUGGGGAGGCAGGCUGGGCGGCCGUUCGUCCUCGCCUUCGGGUGUCGAUGCCUCCGCGGCAGCGCCUCGCUCCACAGCCAGCGGCCUGGAAGCCGUAGCCAUGGCCGCGGUGGCCGUCCUCCGGAACGACUCGCUGCAGGCCUUUCUCCAGGACCGCACCCCCAGCGCCUCCCCGGACCUGGGCAAGCACUCGCCCCUGGCACUGCUGGCCGCCACCUGUAGCCGCAUUGGCCAGCCGGGCGCGGCGGCGCCCCCGGACUUCCUGCAAGUGCCCUACGACCCCGCGCUGGGCUCCCCUUCCAGGCUCUUUCACCCGUGGACCGCCGACAUGCCGGCGCACUCGCCGGGCGCGCUACCACCCCCGCACCCCAGCCUGGGGCUGACGCCGCAGAAGACUCACCUGCAGCCGUCCUUCGGGGCUGCGCAUGAGCUUCCGCUCACGCCCCCCGCCGACCCCUCCUACCCCUACGAGUUCUCGCCGGUCAAGAUGCUGCCCUCGAGCAUGGCGGCUCUGCCAGCCAGCUGUGCGCCCGCCUACGUGCCCUACGCCGCGCAGGCCGCGCUGCCACCCGGCUACUCCAACCUGCUGCCCCCUCCGCCGCCGCCCCCCCCGCCGCCCACCUGCCGCCAGUUGUCACCCAAUCCGGCCCCCGACGACCUCCCGUGGUGGAGCAUCCCGCAGGCAGGCGCCGGGCCGGGGGCCUCCGGGGUUCCGGGAAGCGGCCUCUCCGGCACCUGUGCCGGGGCCCCCCACGCGCCCCGUUUCCCCGCCUCUGCGGCCGCUGCUGCUGCAGCCGCCGCCGCCCUGCAAAGAGGCCUCGUGUUGGGCCCGUCGGACUUUGCGCAGUACCAGAGCCAGAUCGCCGCGCUGCUGCAGACCAAGGCCCCCCUGGCGGCCACGGCCAGGAGGUGCCGCCGCUGCCGCUGCCCCAACUGCCAGGCGGCGGGCGGCGCCCCUGAGGCGGAGCCGGGCAAGAAGAAGCAGCACGUGUGCCACGUGCCGGGCUGCGGCAAGGUGUACGGGAAGACGUCGCACCUGAAGGCGCACCUGCGCUGGCACACGGGCGAGCGGCCCUUCGUGUGCAACUGGCUCUUCUGCGGGAAGAGCUUCACGCGCUCGGACGAGCUGCAGCGGCACCUGCGGACUCACACGGGCGAGAAGCGCUUCGCCUGCCCCGAGUGCGGCAAACGUUUCAUGCGCAGCGACCAUCUAGCCAAGCACGUCAAGACUCACCAGAAUAAGAAGCUCAAAGUUGCUGAGGCCGGGGUUAAGCGGGAGGACCCGCGGGACCUGUGAACCCUCCCCGAGGUGGAUCCCCUUCCCAGCACCUCUGCGGGAGAUCCGGGGAUCUAUGGGCAGCUGGCGGAAGGGAGACUCACCAAACGGACUCUCUCCGUUGCUUGCCGCCCAGAAUGGAGCCAGGCCCCCAGCUUCCCCGGCCCUCGGACACGGGGACCCAGUUUCCAGGAGCCGGGAAGUAGGGUUGGGACCUGAAGCAUUUGGGUCAUGAUUGGGAGUUCUGCCCUACGCUAGGGCGGUUCCAAACUCUAAACCGUUCCCACCGUCUGGGAGACCUACAGUUUUGGGGGACCACCCUGGGCUGGCCUUGUAUAUAGGAAACGCUGCUGAAUUGAAGCGGAAGGAACUUGGGAGAUUGGAAACAGUGCUCGGGUUUUCGCUAGGACUGGUUUGAGCUUUGUACAGCAUUUUUCUCCCGUUUGAUCCUUGAAGUCCAUUGCAUCUCUUGAUAACACUGCAGACAACUGCCAAGAAAGUCAUUGUGGUAAGAAAUUCUGUAGCAAGCCUGGAUUUGAAGUAGGAAGUUGCGAAGUUGUUUUCUAGGGAGAAAGCAUUUCCUUCAUCAGUCGUGAUUCAGACCUGUCAAUAGCAAGCCUGUGUGCCGUGAACAGCCAGCUCCUGGAGGCUGUGGGGCUGUGGCUGCCCCGUUGCUUCUGGAGCAGGGAGAUUUGGAAGUAAGGAAAGGGGAAACAAAUCAUGGGGAAUAACAGAUGUGGGACUAUCCUAUCUAAAUAGGAUAUGGAAAGGGGUUGAAAUAGGGUCAUUGGGUAGAAGUAAAAAGGCAAGGUUGGAGCAACUUCUCAAACUUGAAAUGGACCCCACAGAGGAAGAUGUUUUCCUCACCCCAAGGUUUUGGAAUUUUGUGUUUUGGGUUUUGGGUUUUUUUUUGACUAAAGUUGAGUAUGAGUAGGCUCUAGAGGAGUUGUGGUGGACUUCAAGACCUUUGGACUGGGAUUAUCCUUAUGGUCUCUUCCAAAGCUGAAAUGCCUCAAAUCUAAUACCUAUAAGCCAAAAAGUCUGAAUAAAUCUUAUUAUAGCUGGGCACAGUGGUGCAUGCCUAUAAUCUCAGCUACUUGGGAGGCUGAGGCAGGAGAAUCACUUGAUCCCAGGAAGCAGAGGUUGCAGUGAACGAAGACCACACCACUGCACUCCAGCCUGGGUGGCAGACUGAGAUAUUGUCUCAAAAAAAAAAAAAAGAAUAUGUGAGCUGCAUACUUAACUUGAUAUUUGUUAUUUAUAAUUAUUACAUGUAGGAAACUAGGCACAAAACAUGUAUAUAUAACCAAAUUCAAUUUACCAAACAAUGAUUUGAAGUCUAAGUCUACAAGAUGUAAGUUACAAUGAGAAUUUAAAGAUGAACACAGUCCUUCAAAGAGCUCACAAUCACAAAGGAGAUAAAACAAAGGCCCAAAUGAAUGUAAUACAAGGCCUCACACCUGCCAAAAGUGACCAACAAAACUCCCCUAAAAACACAAAGGAAAGAGAAAUUACUUCAGGUAAUAACAAUGAUAAACUGUUUGAUUCCACAAAUGGAUAUUCUGCUUUGAAAAAGAACAAUCUCCAAACUGCAUCUGUGGCAUUCAGAAUCCAAUUAGAUUUUUAUCCAGAGCUGUUAAUUCAAGACAAUGUGGUCCCAGACCUGCAGCAUCAGCAUCACUUGGGAUCACUGGUUAGAAAUGCAGAUUCUGGGAUCCAACCGCCAGACUUACUAAAUCAGAAACUCUGGGAACGGCCUGGCAAUCUGUGUUUUAACAAGCCAUCCAGGUGAUUCUAAUGCACAAUGAUGUUCAAGAACCACUGGUUUAGGAAGUUGCAUAUUUUAACCAUGUGUAAGAUGGAAAAUAUAUACGCAAAUUCUAGCCUAAGACAUUUCUCACAAGUUACUCUGGGGAAAUAGAAAAUGCAUGGACUGGCUGGGCAUGGUGGCUCACGGCUGUAAUCCCAGCACUUUGGGAGGCAGAGGCAGGUAGAUCACCUGAGGUCAGGAAUUUGAGACCAGACUGGCCAACAUGGUGAAACCCCACCUCUAAUAAAAUACAAAAAUUAGCUGGGCACGGUGGCAAAGCGCCUGUAAUCCCAGCUACUCAGGAAGCCGAGACAGGAGAAUGGCUUGAAUCCAGGAGGCAGAGGUUGCAAUGAGCCGACAGAGUAAGAUCCGUCUCAAAAAAAAAAAAAAGGAAAAGAACGUGGAUAGACCAUUUGGCUGAAAUUCUCACCCAGUUGAGAAUACAGCAAUAGUCUUAAUGAAAUAUUGAUCCUUACAUGCAUGUUAGGUAAUUAUGUAAACAAUUGUCCUUUUAUAAUAUGUAAUACCAAUAGAGUAUUUACAUUUUUGAAUUAUAAGUCACAUAUUUUAUAUGUUAGUGGAAUUUUCCCCAUUAAGUUGAACAGUGACUUUAGCAAUAUCUGUUUUCCUAAAGGGAAUAGUCAGCUAACUAAGCAGUAGUGUCAUUGGAUAAUGAAUAACCAAACGUCAUGAGACACAUAUAAACUCCACCACUAAGGGUGAAAAACACGUACAUAUUCUGUGCUGCAGAAAUGCAAUGAUGGCUCUUCUAAAAGAUAAGCAUAGUCACCACCAGCCUCUGUUUUGCUACAAUAGCUUUUUUUUUUUUUUUUUGAAAUGGAGUCUUGCUCUGUUGCCCAGGCUGAAGUGCAGUGCGCAAUCUUGGCUCACUGCAACUUCCACCUCCCAGGUUCAAGUGAUUCUCCUGCCUCAGCCUCCCAAGUAGCUAGGACUAUAAGCGCAUGCCACCAUGCCCGGCUAUUUUCGUAUUUUUAGUAGAGAUAGGAUUUCACCAUAUUGGUCUGGCUGGUCUUGAACUCCUGUCUUCAUGAUCCACCUGCCUUGGCCUCCCAAAGUGCUGGGAUUAUAGGCAUGAGCCACUGUGCCCAGCCUACCAUAGCUUCUUAGAACUACCCACAGGGAAGUGUAGGAGCCUGGAGCUUCUCUGCAGUAAACAUAAAAACUUUGUGGAUAUUUAUCUAAACCAAGAAUGUUCACUUUCCUCUGUUCUAGCCCAAUCCUCAUUGGUCCACCUUUCUUCUCCUCCACAAAGUCUUGAUCAAAGUACAUUUCAGGGCUGUUUCCAAGACCAGAACAUGAUUUAGUAAAAUUUUUUGGCAGUUGAUUUCUGACCUUUGGAAUUAUAGAAGGCUGCUGGGAAUUACCAGUAAUAGGGAAGCCUAUAACAUGAAUGAAAAUACCUCCAUGAUUUUUUUUCAGGGAACGGGCCCCUCACUCUGCCCCCAAGUCCAAACUAUCCAAUCAUCAUUGUUUGAUGUACUUUAGGAGGCCCCCUAGUGAAUGAUAAGAAGCUAGGAUGAUGCUGAUUGUAGCAUAUUGCUAAGGAGUCCCCAAAUCCCUGAGAGAUCAAGGGAGCUCUCUAAGAUGAGAUAAAUCUCUCCAGCCACAACUUACAGAAUUUAGCAUGUUGGGGUUGGAAGAGACUUAAAAAUCACUGACUCUGAGGUGGGGUGUAGUGGCUCAUGCCUCUAAUCCUAGCACUUUGGGAGGCUGACGCGGGCAAAUCACCUGAGGUCAGGAGUUCAAGACAAGUCAUAGCCAAUAUAGUGAAACCGCAUCUCUACUAAAAAUACAAAAAUUAGCUGGGCAUGGUGGCAGGUACCAGUGAUCCCAAUUACUCGGGAAGCAGGAGAGUUGCUUGAACCAGAAAGCAGAGGUUGCAGUGAGCUGAUAUAGCGCCACUGCACUCCAGCCUGGGCAGCAGAGGGAGACUCCAUCUCAAAAAAAAAAAAAAAAACCACCAACUCUGACCCUCUCAUUUAACAGAAGAGAAAACAGCAUGCCAGAUUCAGUGAAACCAUCAUUAUCCAUGAUGCAUUAACAAAUAAGCACACUCAAUAGCAAUCCCGCAGCCUAGCAAAGGGAGAGAUAGAUGGUUGAGGAGCACAGAGACUGAGAGAAGACUCAAGGAAGAAAUAUAGAGAGAAGCUUUGGUCUGAAGUUGCCAAAGGACUACGAAUGGUGGCUCUCAGCUUUUUACAUGUGUGAAAAUUACCGAGGUUGCUUAUUUAAAUGGAGGAUCCUGAGCUACAUCCCUAGAACUGCUGAUUUGUUUGGUCCAGGGGUGAGGAAGCUGGUUUCAUUAUAACCAUCACCCCAGUGACUCUACGACAGGUGGUUGGAAGAUCACCAUUAGAGAAAGCUUCCUUACAAGAGAAAACAUAGUGAAUGGUGUAACAUCCACACAUUUUGACAAUGGCAAAUGCUCAGGUAAUAAAUCCUAUCUAAUUUUCCUUUUUUAAAAAGUUGACAGUUGAUUGCUGAGGUCUGACACAAUAUAUUUCAUGAUCUUGAAGAGGAGAAGUGACUUAGAAGCUUUAUCUUAUUUACCUGGGUCUGUGUCAA